rnacentral:rRNA from 1 species
GACGAACGCUGGCGGCGUGCUUAGCACAUGCAAGUCGAACGGAAAGGCCCUGCUUUUGUGGGGUGCUCGAGUGGCGAACGGGUGAGUAACACGUGAGUAACCUGCCCUUGACUUGGGGAUAACUUCAGGAAACUGGGGCUAAUACCGGAUAGGAGCUCCUGCUGCAUGGUGGGGGUUGGAAAGUUUCGGCGGUUGGGGAUGGACUCGCGGCUUAUCAGCUUGUUGGUUGGGUAGUGGCUUACCAAGGCUUUGACGGGUAGCCGGCCUGAGAGGGUGACCGGCCACAUUGGGACUGAGAUACGGCCCAGACUCCUACGGGAGGCAGCAGUGGGGAAUAUUGCACAAUGGGCGGAAGCCUGAUGCAGCAACGCCGCGUGCGGGAUGACGGCCUUCGGGUUGUAAACCGCUUUCGCCUGUGACGAAGCGUGAGUGACGGUAAUGGGUAAAGAAGCACCGGCUAACUACGUG